rnacentral:rRNA from 1 species
UACAGAGGUCUCAAGCGUUGUUCGGAUUCAUUGGGCGUAAAGGGUGCGUAGGCGGCGCGGUAAGUCGGGUGUGAAAUCUCGGAGCUUAAUUCCGAAACUGCAUUCGAUACUGCCGUGCUUGAGGACUGGAGAGGAGACUGGAAUUUACGGUGUAGCGGUGAAAUGCGUAGAUAUCGUAAGGAAGACCAGUGGCGAAGGCGGGUCUCUGGACAGUUCCUGACGCUGAGGCACGAAGGUCAGGGGAGCAAACGGG